GACGAACGCUGGCGGCGUGCCUAAUACAUGCAAGUAGAACGCUGAAGCUUGGUGCUUGCCCCGAGCGGAUGAGUUGCGAACGGGUGAGUAACGCGUAGGUAACCUGCCUGGUAGCGGGGGAUAACUAUUGGAAACGAUAGCUAAUACCGCAUAAGAGUAGAUGUUGCAUGACAUUUGCUUAAAAGGUGCAAUUGCAUCACUACCAGAUGGACCUGCGUUGUAUUAGCUAGUUGGUGAGGUAACGGCUCACCAAGGCAACGAUACAUAGCCGACCUGAGAGGGUGAUCGGCCAAACUGGGAAUGGGACACGGCCCAGACUCCUACGGGAGGCAGCAGUAGGGAAUCUUCGGCAAUGGACGGAAGGCUGACCGAGCAAAGCCGCGGGAGUGAAGAAGGGUUUCGGAUCGUAAAGCUCUGUUGUAAGAGAAGAACGAGUGUGAGAGUGGAAAGUUCACACUGUGACGGUAUCUUACCAGAAAGGGACGGCUAACUACGUG
rnacentral:rRNA from 1 species